UGCUCUGAUUAAAUCACAAAUAGGAAGUGCCCUCAGCAGUGAUAACUGGUGAUAAUUCUGGGCUGAAG
ensembl:snoRNA